CCUACGGGGUGCAGCAGUGAGGAAUAUUGGUCAAUGGACGCAAGUCUGAACCAGCCAUGCCGCGUGCAGGAAGACGGCUCUAUGAGUUGUAAACUGCUUUUGUACGAGGGUAAACGCAGAUACGCGUAUCUGUCUGAAAGUAUCGUACGAAAAAGGAUCGGCUAACUCCGUGCCAGCAGCCGUGGUAAUACGGAGGAUUCAAGCGUUAUCCGGAUUUAGUGGGUUUAAAGGGUGCGUAGGCGGUUGUGUAAGUUAGAGGUGAAAUCCCGCGGCUCAACUUCGGAAUUGCCUCGGAUACUGUGCGGAUAGAGAGUAGUUGCGGUAGGCGGAAUGUAUGGUGUAGCGGUGAAAUGCUUAGAGAUCAUACAGAACACCGAUUGCGAAGGCAGCUUACCAAGCUACUUCUGACGUUGAGGCACGAAAGCGUGGGGAGCAAACAGGAUUAGAUACCCUAGUAGUC
rnacentral:rRNA from 1 species